AACGAACGCUGGCGGCAUGGCUUAACACAUGCAAGUCGAACGCUGUCGCAAGACAGAGUGGCGCACCGGGUGAGUAACGCGUGGGAAACUGCCCUUCUGUGCGGGACAACAUCUGGAAACGGAUGCUAAUACCGCAUACGCCCUACGGGGGAAAGGUCCGCCGCAGAGGGAGGUGCCCGCGUCCGAUUAGCUUGUUGGUGAGGUAAGAGCUCACCAAGGCGACGAUCGGUAGCUGGUCUGAGAGGAUGAUCAGCCACACUGGGACUGAGACACGGCCCAGACUCCUACGGGAGGCAACAGUGGGGAAUAUUGGACAAUGGGGGCAACCCUGAUCCAGCAAUGCCGCGUGUGUGAUGAAGGCCUUAGGGUUGUAAAGCACUUUCACUGGUGAAGAUUAUGACGGUAGCCAGAGAAGAAGCCCCGGCUAACUUCGUG
rnacentral:rRNA from 1 species